UCUGGACCCUAUCAGUUCCUGACCACAUUCCGUAAAUGCAGGCGUUCGGAAGAAAACAAACUGGUACACAGGUAACAGAAACCCAGCGAUGUACUGAUGGAGAGAUAGGGAAACGGUGACUAAUGAAUUCAGUUCUCUUAUCCCAGGUAAAUGAGGAAGGUGAUGGCCCAGCACUCAUUGCUCAGCCAACUUCGGAGCUGUUGUUCAGAAGUGUUCAACUGCCAACUUCUUCUCACUGGAGCCUCCGCUCUGGGCAGCCCAAGGAGACAAGACCUACGUGGCCUAUUCCUGACAGUCCUCAUCUAAAUGACAACAAAGUCCAGUCUUGCAGCAAUGGGGAAACGUAUUCAAGAGAGAACAGGCAACCUACAAGCUGAGAUCUGUAAUCAAGACUCUCUACUGGCUACAGGGCCAGUAACAGGCCAAGAACUGUUUAUCUGCAGAAGAGAUCAGAGUUUUGCUCCAAAAUCCCAAGGUCCUGUGCGAUAACUCACCUACAAGGACUUCCCAAAGGCUCCAAACAGCAUCUCUGUCCACCACUGGCACUUAAGCCCCAUUGGAUCUGCUGGAUCAUGUGGUCCUGGUGAUAGAGCAGAGGCCACAGCCGCCUGGAUCUGCUGCAGAGCUUUCUCUUGUUCUGUGCCUCACUCAAAACCAGCAGCUCUUUGCAUCUAUCAACAAAUAGUCUGGAGUAACACAUCCAAAUGAGGAAUUUGAUGCUUCCAAAACCAAAAGGCUCACUAGGCAUUGUGCCUUGUAGUGGGGGUAGGGGUGGGGUGUGACAUGUGACUACAUAUAUGUGUACAUGCAUGUGUGCAUGCACUUCCAAUCCUGCCUUUGAGAAAUAGGAUCAUCCCUUUCUUUAGGAAGAGGAAAAUGGAUUUGAAGGUUAAUGUAAUUUGCUCUGAGUCACUUACAUAGCAAAGAGCAGAAAGAAAGUUCGAGCAUAAGAUACAUUUGGUCUAUUUGAAAGAUUGUGUUCUUUCAGUUACAUCCUACUUUUUUUUCCUUGUACCCUCUCCCCUCUCUGGCUCUAUGGAAAAACUAGGCACUGUCGAGUAGCAAAUACAACAAUGAUUAAGUGCA